AGUGAACGCUGGCGGUAGGCCUAACACAUGCAAGUCGAACGGCAGCACAGUAAGAGCUUGCUCUUACGGGUGGCGAGUGGCGGACGGGUGAGGAAUACAUCGGAAUCUACUUUUUCGUGGGGGAUAACGUAGGGAAACUUACGCUAAUACCGCAUACGACCUACGGGUGAAAGCAGGGGAUCUUCGGACCUUGCGCGAUUGAAUGAGCCGAUGUCGGAUUAGCUAGUUGGCGGGGUAAAGGCCCACCAAGGCGACGAUCCGUAGCUGGUCUGAGAGGAUGAUCAGCCACACUGGAACUGAGACACGGUCCAGACUCCUACGGGAGGCAGCAGUGGGGAAUAUUGGACAAUGGGCGCGAGCCUGAUCCAGCCAUACCGCGUGGGUGAAGAAGGCCUUCGGAUUGUAAAGCCCUUUUGUUGGGAAAGAAAAGCAGCAGGUUAAUACCCCGCUGUUCUGACGGUACCCAAAGAAUAAGCACCGGCUAACUUCGUG
rnacentral:rRNA from 1 species